GAGGGUCUAGCUCAAAUGGUACAACACAUGCUUAGCAUGCAUGAGGUUCUGGGUUCAAUUCCCAGUACCCCCA
rnacentral:tRNA from 1 species